CCUACGGGCGGCAGCAGUGAGGAAUAUUGGGCAAUGGGCGUAAGCCUGAACCAGCGAAGUCGCGUGAGGGAUGAAGGUUCUAUGAAUCGUAAACCUCGUUUAUAAGGGAAUACAGUGUGGGUCGUGUCCUGUUGUGUAUGUACCUUAUGAAUAAGGGUCGGCUAACUCCGUGCCAGCAGCCGCGGUAAUACGGAGGGUCCGAGCGUUAUUCGGAUUGAUUGGGUUUAGAGGGUGCGUAGGCGGCCUUUUAAGUCAGCGGUGAAAGUCUGUGGCUCAACCAUAGAAUUGCCGUUGAAACUGGGAGGCUUGAGUAUGUUUGAGGCAGGCGGAAUGCGUGGUGUAGCGGUGAAAUGCGUAGAUAUCACGCAGAACCCCGAUUGCGAAGGCAGCCUGCCAAGACAUGACUGACGCUGAUGCACGAAAGCGUGGGGAUCAAACAGGAUUAGAUACCCUGGUAGUC
rnacentral:rRNA from 1 species